UACGUAGGGUGCAAGCGUUAAUCGGAAUUACUGGGCGUAAAGCGUGCGCAGGCGGUUCGCUAAGACAGAUGUGAAAUCCCCGGGCUUAACCUGGGAACUGCUUUGUGACUGGCGGGCUAGAGUAUGGCAGAGGGGGGUAGGAAUUCCACGUGUAGCAGUGAAAUGCGUAGAGAUGUGGAGGAAUACCGAUGGCGAAGGCAGCCCCCUGGGCCAAUACUGACGCUCAUGCACGAAAGCGUGGGGAGCAAACAGG
rnacentral:rRNA from 1 species